CGCGUAGGCGGGGUGGCAAGUCGGUCGUGAAAUCCUUCGGCUCAACCGAAGAACGUCGGCCGAUACUGCCGUUCUUGAGGGAUGCAGAGGAGACUGGAAUUCCCGGUGUAGCGGUGAAAUGUGUAGAGAUCGGGAGGAACACCGGUGGCGAAGGCGGGUCUCUGGGCAUCUCCUGACGCUGAGGCGCGAAAGCGUGGGGAGCAAACGGGAUUAGAUACCCCGGUAGUCCACGCCAUAAACGAUGACGACUAGGUGUGGGGUGGUUCAGUCCACUCCGUGCCGCAGCUAACGCAUUAAGUCGUCCGCCUGGGGAGUACGGCCGCAAGGUUGAA
rnacentral:rRNA from 1 species